rnacentral:tRNA from 1 species
ACUCAUGGUGGCGGAACUGGGAGACACGCCAGGCUUAGACCCUGGUGCUCGUGGGAGCGUGCAGGUUCGACCCCUGCCGGGCGUA